GAUGAACGCUGGCGGCGUGCCUAAUACAUGCAAGUCGAGCGAACGGACGAGAAGCUUGCUUCUCUGAUGUUAGCGGCGGACGGGUGAGUAACACGUGGAUAACCUACCUAUAAGACUGGGAUAACUUCGGGAAACCGGAGCUAAUACCGGAUAAUAUUUUGAACCGCAUGGUUCAAAAGUGAAAGACGGUCUUGCUGUCACUUAUAGAUGGAUCCGCGCUGCAUUAGCUAGUUGGUAAGGUAACGGCUUACCAAGGCAACGAUGCAUAGCCGACCUGAGAGGGUGAUCGGCCACACUGGAACUGAGACACGGUCCAGACUCCUACGGGAGGCAGCAGUAGGGAAUCUUCCGCAAUGGGCGAAAGCCUGACGGAGCAACGCCGCGUGAGUGAUGAAGGUCUUCGGAUCGUAAAACUCUGUUAUUAGGGAAGAACAUAUGUGUAAGUAACUGUGCACAUCUUGACGGUACCUAAUCAGAAAGCCACGGCUAACUACGUGCCAGCAGCCGCGGUAAUACGUAGGUGGCAAGCGUUAUCCGGAAUUAUUGGGCGUAAAGCGCGCGUAGGGCGGUUUUUUAAGUCUGAUGUGAAAGCCCACGGCUCAACCGUGGAGGGUCAUUGGAAACUGGAAAACUUGAGUGCAGAAGAGGAAAGUGGAAUUCCAUGUGUAGCGGUGAAAUGCGCAGAGAUAUGGAGGAACACCAGUGGCGAAGGCGACUUUCUGGUCUGUAACUGACGCUGAUGUGCGAAAGCGUGGGGAUCAAACAGGAUUAGAUACCCUGGUAGUCCACGCCGUAAACGAUGAGUGCUAAGUGUUAGGGGGUUUCCGCCCCUUAGUGCUGCAGCUAACGCAUUAAGCACUCCGCCUGGGGAGUACGACCGCAAGGUUGAAACUCAAAGGAAUUGACGGGGACCCGCACAAGCGGUGGAGCAUGUGGUUUAAUUCGAAGCAACGCGAAGAACCUUACCAAAUCUUGACAUCCUUUGACAACUCUAGAGAUAGAGCUUUCCCCUUCGGGGGACAAAGUGACAGGUGGUGCAUGGUUGUCGUCAGCUCGUGUCGUGAGAUGUUGGGUUAAGUCCCGCAACGAGCGCAACCCUUAAGCUUAGUUGCCAUCAUUAAGUUGGGCACUCUAAGUUGACUGCCGGUGACAAACCGGAGGAAGGUGGGGAUGACGUCAAAUCAUCAUGCCCCUUAUGAUUUGGGCUACACACGUGCUACAAUGGACAAUACAAAGGGCAGCGAAACCGUGAGGUCAAGCAAAUCCCAUAAAGUUGUUCUCAGUUCGGAUUGUAGUCUGCAACUCGACUACAUGAAGCUGGAAUCGCUAGUAAUCGUAGAUCAGCAUGCUACGGUGAAUACGUUCCCGGGUCU
rnacentral:rRNA from 1 species